CGCACUAUAUUUUAAACCUAUUGAUGGAAAUUUUCACCACUGUAAGUUACGCUGUAGUGCCACAGAAUCCCUUGGUGCCUGUCCUAGCACAGCUGAUUGCCCGUACAGCUCGUGCUCUGGCGGUGGUGUCAAGGAACAUGG
rnacentral:snoRNA from 1 species